rnacentral:rRNA from 1 species
UGGCGACCGGCGCACGGGUGAGUAACACGUAUCCAACCUGCCGAUAACUCGGGGAUAGCCUUUCGAAAGAAAGAUUAAUACCCGAUGGUAUAAUCAGACCGCAUGGUUUGAUUAUUAAAGAAUUUCGGUUAUCGAUGGGGAUGCGUUCCAUUAGGCAGUUGGUGAGGUAACGGCUCACCAAACCUUCGAUGGAUAGGGGUUCUGAGAGGAAGGUCCCCCACAUUGGAACUGAGACACGGUCCAAACUCCUACGGGAGGCAGCAGUGAGGAAUAUUGGUCAAUGGGCGCAGGCCUGAACCAGCCAAGUAGCGUGAAGGAUGACUGCCCUAUGGGUUGUAAACUUCUUUUAUAUGGGAAUAAAGUUUUCCACGUGUGGAAUUUUGUAUGUACCAUAUGAAUAAGGAUCGGCUAACUCCGUGCCAGC